ensembl:snoRNA LOC120096825 small nucleolar RNA SNORA17
CUCUAGAGGCCUUCAGUUGUGCCUGCUGUGUCACAUGAGAGGAGAGAGGCUAUGUUUACACACAGUGUUCUGACCUAAGAACACCUGGAUGACGGGUAGCCUAACAUU